rnacentral:rRNA from 1 species
AUUGAACGCUGGCGGCAGGCCUAACACAUGCAAGUCGAACGAGUGGCGGACGGGUGAGUAAUGUCUGGGAAACUGCCUGAUGGAGGGGGAUAACUACUGGAAACGGUAGCUAAUACCGCAUACCAUCAGAUGUGCCCAGAUGGGAUUGGCUUGUUGGUGGGGUAACGGCUCACAAAGGCGAAGAUCCAUAGCUGGUCUGAGGGGAUUACCAGCCACACUGGAACUUAGACACGGUCCAGACUCCUACGGUAGGCAGCAGUGGGGAAGUUUGCACAAUGGGCGCAAGCCUGAUGCAUCCAUGCCGCGUGUAUGAAGAAGGCCUUCGGGUUGUAAAGUACUUGCAGCGGGGAGGCGUUACCCGCAGAAGAAGCACCGGCUAACUCCGUGCCAGCCGCCGCGGUAAUAC